CGGAGGAUCCAAGCGUUAUCCGGAUUUAUUGGGUUUAAAGGGUGCGCAGGCGGAAGAUUAAGUCGGCGGUGAAAUUUUGCAGCUCAACUGUAAAAGUGCCAUCGAUACUGGUUUUCUUGAGUGUGGAUGAAGUAGGCGGAAUUUGUGGUGUAACGGUGAAAUGCAUAGAUAUCACGAGGAACUCCGAUUGCGCAGGCAGCUUACUAGGCCAUAACUGACGCUCAGGCACGAAGGCGUGGGGAUCAAACAGGAUUAGAUA
rnacentral:rRNA from 1 species